CAGGCGGGUCCUGAGGGGCGGGCGGGAGCGGACUGAGGGGGAGCCCGACAAGUGCAAGCCCUGAGGGAGCCCAGGCUGGGCGAGCACAGAGGGCGGAUUAAAGUGAGGCAUGCAGUUGUUAUGAAGCAUCAUGGUCUUUCACGGCAUCUUCCAGGAGAAAUUCCAGGUCCGUUUCUCGCCCCUGAUUAUGUGAUCACAUGCCAGAGCACUCCGGGAGAGGGGAAGAUAAAGGCACUGACAGAUGAAGUCUAGUCCAAGAUGAAACAGAGAAGCAGUGGAAGGCUGAGCUCCUGCAAGCUAAUUUACACCUUCAUUCUUCACUUGCUUUCCUGGCAGCAGGAUCUGCUUAUAAAGCUCCUUCCUCUGCACUGCUUUCACCCACAAGUCUGAUUGAAUUGCACAUUGCAGAAUGCAGUGUGUGGAGGGCGUGCACAGCACCAGUAUGAGCAGGUGUCCCCCAUGUUGGAUGAGCUGGUGCAGCUGCAGGUAAGGGAAAGGUUCUCUGCUGGUGCAAGAGGAAAGCCAAAGAGCAGCCCCAGCUGUGGGACAGAACUGGAUUUACAGUCAGGAAUGCUCUUACAGAUAUGGCAGCCCAUACCUUCAGAAGCAUGGAAGAAAAGGAGGGGCAGUCUCAGAUGAUUUCUGUCUAAUAUUUUUGCUUAAAAUUGAGUUCACCAUGUUAUUUUCCAGCUUAUCUCACUACCCUUCCCCUUUUUUUUUAUAUUUUUUAAAUUUUUUUUCCUUCUAGAAUGUCCCAUCCCUUCAAGUUUUAUUUUUGGAAUUUAAUAUCUCCUGUUGAUGAUUUCUGUUCCUUAUCUUCUCUUGAUCCAUUUCUGCUUCUCUUUUAGAUUCUGUCUCCUUCAGUCUCCAACUAAUGUCUCCCCAUAUGUCAGAUUAAAAAAAAAAAAAAAUUUACAAGAUGCUGGGCUGUGAAAGGAACUAGGGAAUGUUUAUGUGGUUGCAGCAGGCUGACCAUUAAAGUGACUUUAUUUCUACAGCAUUUCAGAUGCGGGGCUUGACAGUUUCAUUUCCGAAACUAUUUAUACUCACAAAAAUCCAUAACAGCAUUUCCAUUAUUUCCUUAUAUGAUAUUUUUUGCCUAUAUUUUAUCAAGUCAUCUUCUUCUAUUCAGACCUGAUUUCAGACAAUAGGAAUACAAAGUGGAAAAAUCCUUUCUAAAAGAGUCUGUAGCUUUUUAUCUAUUAAAGCAUCUUUCUGUGUCCCAACACAUUUUUAUCUCAGCCUACUUUUCAACUUCUCCUGUUGAUUUGAUCCAAUGGAAUGACAUGCAGGGGAAAUUUAGAUGGAAGUUACCCCUGAAGAGGGUGUGUGCUCAGAGAUGAGGGUCCUUACCAAAGCUGCCUUCCUCAUUAUCCACCAAAGUCCUCUUGCAGCUCUGGAUCCUGAUUCCAGACCAUGCCAUAUUAAAGCAAA